rnacentral:sRNA from 1 species
AUUCCCAUCCCCUCAUCCUUCUAGGACAGAAGUGGCGGUUGCUGACGCCUGGAAAUCCCCCUGAAGGUGGAGCACUACCCAACCCCCCUGGGUCCCACCCUCCCUCAAGGCCUCCUCCACCUCCACCUCCACCCCGCCUGGCCUGGCGUCCACCUCUUCGGCUCCUACCUGGGUGCAAUCGAGUUAAAUGGCUGAUAAGCAGAUCAGCCUGCCAGCCAAGCUCAUCAAUGGCGGCAUCGCCGGGCUGAUCGGUGUCACCUGCGUGUUUCCCAUCGACCUGGCCAAGACCAGGCUGCAGAACCAGCAGAACGGCCAGCGCGUGUACACCAGCAUGUCCGACUGCCUCAUCAAGACCGUCCGCUCCGAGGGCUACUUCGGCAUGUACCGGGGUGAGGUUUGGCUCGGCUGGGCUCGAUAUGGGCAGGCCUGGGUAGCGCCCGCGAGUCGUGGCAGGGAGCGGUGGGGGAGGCAGGGCAGGGCGGCCAGCCUGGGCCUGGUGUGUGAGCGUGGACGUGUUUGUGGGGGCUGUGCCUGUGCAGGGGGGACUGGAUCUCUGGUGAGUGGCAGUUCUCAGCCUCUCCCGUGG